CUCAGAAAACUAUAACAGCUUGAAAAAAAUUCCAUUUUCAACAAAUUUUGAUUCGUGAUUGUUCGAGUGUUUACGAUUUGUAUUAUGCAUCCAUGAUAAAUAAAAUAUAUCGUUUUGUUAUAAUUUAUUUGUACACAUAUGCGAUACGUUGAACAAACUCGUGAUUAUAAACGAACCCCUAUCACGAGACGCGCGCAAAGAUUAUUCAAAUAAUAGGUACGUACGGAGAACGAAUAAUAUAAUUUGUAGUCGUUAUUGGCAUGUCCAGCGCUACGUAUAAAUAAAUACUAUGACCGCAGGAAUUAUCUGAUCUUUUUAUGCCAUUUUAGGACAAGGUUUUUUUGCGUCUCCGCGAGAGAAGGCUCUACCAAUACGGGCUCUUAUAGAAUAUACAUACCAAUCGCGAUUGUAUUUUGUAAACCUGAACUUUCACCGUUCGUACUAUAACACAUGAUAUAUCGGUGGUAUACGACUGUUAAUAUCGUCGUUUAAGAUUUAACGCCCGACAUUUCAGUAAAACCAUAAAACUGGUUUAUUCGCAGCUGAUUUCUUAAUUCAUAUAUUUACUAAAAACCAUGCGACAAUUGCACGAAAUAUUCACGAAAAACUACUACCGAAACUCAUUAUAAUGUUACCGUACGGCGUUGUUGUAGAGCCGAAAACACCGUAGUUUUACAAAACAUUCCAGAUAGCAGCGGUUAUCAUCGUUUUUACAUUGUACGCCACCUGUUUUCUUGGCGAUUACGAUUAGUUUACGAAACGAAUCCCCUCGAAAUUUCAACUAAGAAUGUGCCGCCGAAUGAAUUUGGCUAAAGUGUGAUAAUAUAUCGUGGGUUGCACCUUAAACAACGACAAAAUAUAUUUUAUAAGUACAUAAUUGUCUAGAACUAUAGCACUGACUGUAUCAAUAAUACAAUGUUGAUUGCGUACAAAUGUAUAAAACUCACGAGUAUAGGCUACUUUAUGAACUUGUCCGUGUCUGUCUGCCUGUAUGUGCACUCUAUCUCUCAUACGGUUGUGCAUUUUGAAAUGCGGUUUUUACUAAACGAUUAAUAGGCUCCAAAAAAAAAAAGAUCCCCGUUGAGUUUUAGUCCAUUUGGUGAAAGAAAAAAAUGUAUAUUUUAAAUUUAAAUAAGACACUGGACUUACAUCAUACUCGUGUAUACAUUCUUAAUUGUUUAUAUUCAAAUUUAAAAUCAGUUUACAAACUGAGCAUUUCAUUUUAAAUACGUUUUCGUUAAAACCU